rnacentral:rRNA from 1 species
GACGAACGCUGGCGGCGUGCUUAACACAUGCAAGUCGAACGAUGAAGCCGGAGCUUGCUCUGGUGAAUUAGUGGCGAACGGGUGAGUAACACGUGAGUAACCUGCCCUUGACUCUGGGAUAACUGCGGGAAACUGUAGCUAAUACCGGAUACGACCCUCGGAGGCAUCUCCUGGGGGUGGAAAGAAUUUCGGUCAAGGAUGGACUCGCGGCCUAUCAGCCAGUUGGUGAGGUAAAGGCUCACCAAGGCGACGACGGGUAGCCGGCCUGAGAGGGUGACCGGCCACACUGGGACUGAGACACGGCCCAGACUCCUACGGGAGGCAGCAGUGGGGAAUAUUGCACAAUGGGCGCAAGCCUGAUGCAGCAACGCCGCGUGAGGGAUGACGGCCUUCGGGUUGUAAACCUCUUUUGUGUGGGACGAAAUUAUUGACGGUACCACAUGAAUAAGGGGCUCCUAACUCUGUGCCAGCCGCCGCCGUAA